rnacentral:lncRNA from 1 species
AGGCACCUUUCCUAGAAAGCUGAAAAGCAGCUCAGUUAGAUUUCCUCUCUGCUGUUUUCACGGAGUGGGCUUGAAAACCUAGAUUCAAGUUACUCAGUUAAUCAAUCGCAGCUGUGUAAUAGUAUCCCACAAAAGGAAGUAUAGUAUGUAUGUGCUAUUUGGAAUUUCUGGAACUUCUCAAAGGGUUUUGUUUUUGAAUUUUUGAGACAGGGUAUUUCAGUGUUACCCUGAAACUACGAGUCCCAGACUAGCUAUGUAUUUGAGGGCAAUUCUAUCUCCUUCCUUAGCCAUCAGGCACAGUAAUUUCCCUAUGUAAUCCUUGGCUGCCCUCCAACUCCAAUUUAUAAUUCUGUUUCAGCCUCAAAGCGUUGAAACGACAGGUGUUGCCUACCAUGGGUUGCUCUGAAAGUGUUUGUCUGUUUGUUUGUGUUUGUGUUUUUGCUUUAUUUGAUUUGGCAGCUAGGUAUGCUUUUAUGGAAUUGAAAGCAAAAAUAGAGCUGCGGCCUUGAAUUAAUUUUCAAAGGCUUUGGAGAAAUAAUGAAAGUGUUUUGGUUGUAUUCAUAAUUUAAAAUAGUUUCAUAGUAAGAGAGGUAUUUGGUAGCAGAAGAUAAAACUAAAGAAAAAAAAAAUCUGAAAAAACUAAGUGAGACCCGAGUCUCCCUUUAGGCAGUAAGGGUGGGCCUGACUUCCAGCGUAUAUCUUGACUAUUUAUCAUCCUUCUAGGAGCUAAAGAACCAAAGGAUAGGUUGAUGCCGCUGUCUCAGGAUUCCGUUGUUUUAUUUUAAGAUUUAUUUGUUGCUUUUUAAAUUUUAUUUGUUUUUAAGAUUUAUUUAUUUAUUUAUUUAUUUGUGGUUUUAUGUAUGAGUGCUCUAUCUGCAUGCCAGAAGAGGGCACCAGAUCCCAUUAUAGAUGGUUGUGAGGCACCAUGUGGUUGCUAGGAGUUGAACUCAGUACCUCUGGAAGAAAAGCCAGUGAGCAUUUGACUGCUGAGACAUCUCCCCAGUCCUGAGGAUUCCUUCUAAAAGGACACAGAAAAGGGAACUAGGCCAGACAACUGUGAUAGGUUUUUUGUUUGUUUGUUUGUUUUGUUUGUUUUUUCUCUGCUACUGGUGAAAUGAAUCAAUUCAAGCCAGAAUGAGAUUAUAUUAAGUGCAGGAUCAUUGGGAAGCUGCUCUCUGGUAGGCUCACGGGCCCCAAGGACAGAAGCCAGAGAGGAAGGAAGAGAAUUGUACAUAUUCUCUGCUUACUCCUUUUUGAGUUUCCUUCCCAUUUGAGGGUAUGAGAAAUGGCUUGAGAUGACUUUGGCAAACUUUGGUCUUCAGGUACUCUCGCUCCAUUAAGCUCACCAAGAGCUAAGAAAGGCUCUGUAGCUCUCAAAGCAAUCAGUACCACUAACCUAACCUGUUUUGUAUCACUAGUUUUAAGUGUCUUUCUGCUAAAGCUCAAUGUUGCUAGUAGAUUUCCUAUAGAUACACAUAUGCCAUCCCUAGCCGUGAUGCUGAUGAUUGCCCAAGUCGUUUUCCAGAUUUUGAGGUUGGAAGCUGGUUUUGUUUUGUUCAAAGAGUGACCUUCUGUCUAAUAUGAGGCCUGAACUCUCAGCUGUUAGCCCCCCCCCCAACAAAGUCAGGUAUUAAGGACAAACUCUCCCCCCACCCCCACCCCCAGACAGGGUUUCUUUGUGUAGCCCUGGCUGUCCUGGAAUUUACUCUGUAGAUCAGGCUGGCCUUGAACUCAGAAAUCUACCUGCCUUUGCCUCCCAAGUGCUGGGAUUAAAGGCACGUGCCACCACUGCCCAGCAAGGACAAACUCUUAUAUUAAUAAACCUUCGAAGUAUUUUUCCUUAGCACCCUGUAUUAGUCAGGAUUCUCUAUAGUCACAGAAUUUAUGGGUAGUCUCUAUAGUGAAGAAAUUUGUUAUGAUAACUUACAGUUUGUAGUCCAACUCAGCACUUCUGUGAAUGGGAAGUCCAAGGAUUUAGUAGUUGCUCAAUCCCACAAGAAGAACACCAUGCCAAGAUCCAGAUCAGAAACUUCUAUCUCCCAGCCUCAAGGUCUAGAUCACAGCAGGUGCAUGCCCAAUACUCAUGAAGAUCAGAAGAAGGCAUUCUAUGGGUCUGAAAAUUGCCGAAAGAAGACUCCAGGCUCAGAUAGUCUUCAGAAACAACCAGCGUGUGAGGGGUUGGGAGUGUCAACCAUUCUUUGAAAUGUUGACCCCCAGACAAAGGUGCACAAGCCUUCUUAUAGGGAACCAGGAACUCUCUAGAGGAACUAGCAUCAGAUCCCCUGAUAUUGGAGUUAUGAGUUAUAAGUGAUUAUGAGCCACCAUGUGGAUGCUAAGAAUUGAAUCCAGGUCCUCUGUAAGAACAGGCGACCCCUCUGAAAGGGUCGUUUGACCCGAGAAGGGGUCAUAGAGCUGCUGUGCUAGGUGAGAAAUUUUUCCUGAUGCAGCUGACUGUGAAGUUGAUCUGAAGAUAUUUAGAGGACAAAUUUAUCAAGUUCACCUUUGGAAACUUAUGUAGUAUUGUGUAAAACAGUUUAUCCCCAUUAAAUUAUAUCACCAGUAUUUUUAGCUUAUUUUUAAAAAUAAUUUAUUUUUAAUUUUCAAUAAAUACUUGCUACAUAGUC